rnacentral:lncRNA from 10 species
CAGAAUUCAGAGGGAUUCUGGGGUUUUGUAACCUCAAGUUAAAGCAAAACCAUCUCAAGUGGGGUUUGAGACCCUGAAAAUGGCUUCCAGGAACGAGGAGGAUUUCCUUCUCUGGGGAAUUUUAAGAGGAAUAUUCUGGCUCACCUGGAAGGACACAGUUUUGACCAGAGGCAACAAGUGCCUUCAGCAUUCCUUGAAGAUAUCCAAGAAAGAUGCAGUCCACCCUCCAAGUAUUGAUUUCUAAUCUCAGGAAAAAGGAAACCAUUAAAGAACAUAAUCCUACAAAAGGAAAAAGUGCGCCAAGAAAAGUGAAGGAUGUGGAAAUCCAGAAAUGGAGAUCAUAAGGUGAUGGUGAAGAAAUAUUUCAGGAUGUCAACUGCACAGCAGCCCUAAAGACCGCAUCAAAACAGGGUGAUGGAGGGAUCCGGCAGGAAGGUCUUUAGAGAAAAAAAAAACGGAACAAAGAAAUUAUAUGUUUGAGUUUUGGAAAAGCUGUCAGUGGGCACUGGCAGAUCUAAUGGAUAAAAUUAAGGUGAGACUCAAAAACUGCAGCUGAAAAACAACAACCAAAUAAAACAUUGUAUGAGAAAG